GCCUUAACACAUGCAAGUCGAGCGGAAACGAGUUAUCUUGAACCUUCGGGGAACGAUAACGGCGUCGAGCGGCGGACGGGUGAGUAAUGCCUAGGAAAUUGCCCUGAUGUGGGUGGAUAACCAUUSKAAACGAUGGCUAAUACCGCAUGAUGCCUACGGGCCAAAGAGGGGGACCUUCGGGCCUCUCGCGUCAGGAUAUGCCUAGGUGGGAUUAGCUAGUUGGUGAGGUAAGGGCUCACCAAGGCGACGAUCCCUAGCUGGUCUGAGAGGAUGAUCAGCCACACUGGAACUGAGACACGGUCCAGACUCCUACGGGAGGCAGCAGUGGGGAAUAUUGCACAAUGGGCGCAAGCCUGAUGCAGCCAUGCCGCGUGUGUGAAGAAGGCCUUCGGGUUGUAAAGCACUUUCAGUCGUGAGGAAGGUGGSKUCGUUAAUAGCGKNUUUGUUUGACGUUAGCGACAGAAGAAGCACCGGCUAACUCCGUGCCAGCAGCCGCGGUAAUACGGAGGGUGSUAGCGUUAAUCKGAAUUACUGGGCGUAAAGCGCAUGCAGGUGGUUUGUUAAGUCAGAUGUGAAAGCCCG
rnacentral:rRNA from 1 species